rnacentral:snRNA from 1 species
AUGCUUGCUUCGGUAGCACAUAUACUAAAAUUGGAAUGAUACAGAGAAGAUUAGCAUGGCUCCUGCGCAAGGAUGACACACAAAUUUGUGAAGUGUUCCCUGUAAAA